CCUUCCCAGGGCAGCAGCAACCUUAUUGAUCAGGGUUCUUCAGGUAGUGCCCUGUCACAACAACAUUUUAUGAUCCAGUCAAUCAACUUGCAGGGGUUACCCUUGCAAUGAGAUAGGCCAAACCAGCAACAUGUAUGCGAACCCCUUCAAAUUCUGACAUUCUUUGAACUCAAAUCCUAGGAUUGCACCCAGCCAGUUUUGGUUCUGGGUAAAUUAUAAAUCUGAGAGAAGAUUUAUUUUCAUAUGUGUCCAAAAUCUUUCAAAUGACAGCUGAUUUUACAGCUAUGACUCAAGAGAUUGGCUGAUUUUGCAAGAUUUCAUCCAUCUGAGAAUGAAAUUUUAUGAGAAAAGCUCAAAUCUGAAUGCAAACCCUAGCUCUUAUUCAGCACUGAAUCUAUGCCUAAACCUAAUUUCUGAGAUCCAUGAGCCUGAGAAGUGAAAUCCAAGAAAUUAUUUUCAUUCUUGGACUCUCUGAACCCUCAGCACACAAUCCUUCCCACCAAGACACUGAGACAUGAUAGAGAUUGAACUAUCUCCUUUCUGCAAACAAAACACCCUCUAUAAGAAGUUCCUCCAGGUCAUCUCUAGGGCAGUACAGAUGGGUACUCACUGAGGCUGUGUAUAUCAGAAAGGAACUAUGUUAGUUCUAUCAAAACCCCAGAAAGGAUGAGCAUCCAGAGAAACUCAGCUGGACAGAUGAGAAUCCUUCCCCUUCAAAGUGCUACUAAGCACCCCCACAUAAGUGCCUGGAACCGGAGUGAGUAUACAACACCAUAAAAACCCAAGUGAGUGCUGCUGAAGGACCAGAACCCAGCCACGGCCACUUCAUGUUAAUUUGCAACCUCUGCAAUUACAGAGCAAUUUACUUGUUUUACAGUAGAUGCAGCAGAAAUACUUUUCUUGAGGUGAAUAAAUAGCGGAGUAUGCCUGCAGAGAGAUAAUAUUUUACAGUGGAUAGUUGACUAAUACAUUUUUUAUUUGCUGUCUAAUAGAGAGCCAUUAAUUUUCUCUCUGGCCAGUUCUAAUAUUAAGUGUAUAUGUGUGCGGUGGGUGGUCAGGAGAGACAACAGUUGAUUAUUACAUAGACAUAU